GCGUAGUUCGGAAUUAGUGGGUUUAAAGAGUUCGUAGGUGGUUAAAAAAGUUGGUGGUGAAAUCCCAGAGCUUAACUGUGGAACUGCCAUAAAAACUUUUUAGCUAGAGUUAGAUAG
rnacentral:rRNA from 1 species